UGUUUAUGAAUGCUGUCACUACUAGGGUUUUUGAUUGACGUGGUUGGGAUGAUAUUUAAUCUAAUCUCCUACUUUUUCUUCCGAUUUCGAGUGUGUGUUUGUGAUAAAUCAUUUGAAUUGUUGCUCUCGUUUGAUUUGCUUUCUCGAUGCAUCAUUCCUUUUGCCUCCUCGAAUACUUCUGCUAUGAAGCCGAAAUUAAUCGCUGGAAUUUGUGUGUUGCAAUUUUACUUUUCAUUACUUCUUUGUGUUGAAUUUGGGUACUGCAAUUUUGAGCAUUUACCACUGAACAGGAAGUCUUAAAGUCUUUUUCUCUUUGCUCUUUCCAUGACCAAAAUCCGAAGCAACAAAAUGAUAGUUUGAAACUUGUUCUGUGUGGUAGGGGGUUAAUCCACGAAUAGAAGGAAUUAUUCACGCCCUGUCUUAAAAGAUCUGCAUAGCCUUACAAAGUUGUUUAUUAAUUGUGUAGUUCUUUGUUAUUUCAUGAAGUUCUAGAUUAUCUCUUCUCAUGGUAGACACUAGACAUUUUCUCUGUAGAUUUAGGAGCAAAUGUGAAUUUUUGGAGCAAGCUUUAGGUUGAUUGGGCUUCAAUUAUGUCGACCAUCUUUGUGAGUUAAAGAGUGUGACGACUGAAUCUACCUGUGACUGCUAUUUCUUCACCAUGGUUGCUUCUAGUAAAGCACAUCUUAGAAAGAGCCCGAACUCUGGAAGCCAUGAGCCACAAUGCGAUUAGGAAUUACUUGUUCAGCAGCAGAGGCAUCAGAAGCCGCCCAGGGAAAUAUUAAGGACAAAGGUGUUGAAGCGGGUCAGGAUUUUGAUACCCACUCUGCGAAUCAUAUUGAGACUUGCAAGUUGCAUCCAAGAUCAAGGCAAUGGUGGUGACAGCAUGGAGUUAGCUCCCUUGCAGAAUGAGAUGGGAGCAAGAGCACAUGGAGGGACUUCCAAGCUGCUUGGAUCUGAAAUUAAUGCCGUUAAGGGAUAUCUCAAGGCUGCAAAGCAUCGGAGAAAAGCGAUCCAAAAAGAGCAAAGUUUCCCCCCUGCACCAUAAUCCGACAAGGCCAAUCCUCCAUCUAGCGCGUCUCCUUCGAGACCCCUGAAGUGGCUAGACUUCCUGGUUUGGUAGUAGUAUUCCCCCAGUCCUCUUUGCCAUCCUUGGAACCAAUGCAAGUCCCUCCUGUUGGCACUCCUUUCAGCAGGAUGUGACCCAGCUACGGAGGCCUCCCGUACGUAGUCUGCUCCGGUUGACAUUGAAUUAUAGUCAUGCUUUCUUGAUCCUCAUUUAUCAUUCUUGGCUCAUUCCCAUAUCAUUACUAAUGCAUCUAACUUACAAGCUUGUGAACCCGUCAUGCAACUAUUUGAGGACUACUGCCUGAAGAUGAGCAGGGCCGAAGAGGCGACAAAGAGGGCCAAGAGAGAGGCUAUGUAUAGAUGCUUACCUGCACGAAGGCCAAGUCUGACAAGAGAGUGACUGCAACAAUGGAGGAGGAGGUCGCUCAGGUUUCCCAAAGAGCUGACGAAGUAGAAAGGAAACCCAUAAGGUUUUUGGCUGAGGUGGAUACGGAGGCAGCAGAGAUGAAGGGCGAGGAAGCUGUUGUCAAAGCUUGAGCCUUGUCAGCUAGUCAUCCUGUGUUGGAGGUCCGAUGCCUUAUACCGCUCGGCAUCGGAUCUGAUCCGACAAAUAUUUAAUGUAACGAUAAUACAAUGUUUGAACAAUACGACCUGAUAUCACGGUUGCCUUUGAAUUUUUUCUCGAGAAAUGCUACUCGACCACCCUCGGUGACACCCAAUAAACAAUUACAAAUCUACCCUAUGCUUCAAUUACAAAUAGACCCUUAAUUCAUCCUUCUUCCCCCCUCUCUCUCUCUUUCUAUUACGCGCGUGACUGAGCCUUUGGAGUCCCUUUGGCUCGUUCCGGCCGUCUCUCUCUGUCUCUCUCUCCUACCUGUGUGACUGGAUCUCCAUUGGCCCCAAUCUUCAAGGAGGUAUAUAUGUGUAUAUAUACUUUCCGUCUUUUAGUUUUAUCAGCAAUUACUUUCAACAUAGAUCCAUCAUAUAUACGUAUAUAUGCGCGAUUUGGGUUAGACCGAAAUUUAAGCUUAGAUCUAUGGAGAUUCAACCGUUGGAUCUUGCUGCUUUUUGGGUAUGUGGUUCGAUGGGGAUAAGGGUGUCGGGUGGUUGACUCUGGUUGUAUAUGGCGUGGUGUAUGACAACGAUUGAAAAAUAUACACUGCAUGACAACGAUUAGUUGUUUGGACUCUACAGAGAAAGAGGCUGCUGGGUCUUAUGUUUCUUGAAAACUAGUUUUUGGGUAGGGAUGUCAACAAUGUAGUAGAGUGAGAGUAUGAAUGCAUUCUUUAAUGGUUAUGUACACUUGAAAAGCUCGUUGAAGCAAUUUAUUGAACAAUAUGAGCGGACAUUGAGGUGUAAAGUUGAAAAAGAGUUUCAGGUCGAAGUUGGGUCAUUUUCUUAGAUGAUCCCAUGUGCAUCAAGGUAUCCCAAGGAGAAACAAUUUCAAAAAGUGUACACCAUCUCAAAAUUCAAGUAGUUUCAGGACGAAUUCACUGGGAAUAUGUAUUGUGAGGUUGUGUAUACCGAAGAGGGAUUGUUGGGUAUGAAGUACAAGAAGAUAUCAUAUUUGAUGAAAGAGUUAAGGAGAAAAAAAAUUCGAUUGUUUUUGAGAAAGAGAAAUGUGAUAUCGUUUGCAACUGCCAUAUGUUCGAGUUUAGGGGAAUAAUUUGCAGACAUGCUGUCAGAUGAAUUCCUGAGAGGUAUAUCUUAAUGCAAUGAAGGAGAUGUCAAUAGAUCCUACACGAGGGUCAAGAUCAAUUACAACGGUUGGAUUAGUACUCUUAACCAGUUAAGAUUCGAUGAACUGUUUAGUGCGCUUGCCAAAGUUGCAAACGUGGUUGCAGAUGACGAAUAACAUACCCGGGAAACUAUGGAGUGGAUCGAAUCUCAAUUGAAUGCAUUGAGCAUAUCCAAUGCGAAGCCAAGCUGUGGUAGUAAUAUAUAUGAUGAACACAUUGUGCAAGAACAAGUCCUUGAUUGUGGAGAGGCAGCAACAGAUUCAAGCGGGAAAAUCUUGGAUCCGAGAUGCUUGCAGAUAAAAGGAUCUCUUGGGAAGCUUUGCAAGAAGGGCCCAUUGGAAACGAGUUCCAAGAUAGCGUAGGUGGGAUCCUCGAAAUCAAACAAAGGCAAGGCCCGAGGCAAAACAUUGAUGGCCUCAAGCAUUCAAUCAAGGUUUUUCACAAUAAGCACAGUAUCACACUCUGAUACCAAUGUUCUACUCACAACAAUUGAUGGCUGCUCACUAUCAAACUUUGAAUGCUGCUUAUGGAGUGCAUAUGGUACCUACUUUUGGCACGGCUUAGCCCUUCGUGCCAAUGUACCUGUCCCAUCAAUGGCCCGAUGACAACCCACCAGAUUUUUGAGGCAUUGACAGCCCACCAAAUGGUGCUCAGGUUUGUUGACAUUAGGAAAUCAAGAUGAUGAUAUAACUGCACUUCAGGUAUGGUCUUCUCCUGUUUUGGUUUUCACUUUAUUCUGUUAACCCUCUGAAUUCCGACUUUGUGAAUAAAGAAAAAGAAAACUCACUCACUCUUAUGAUUUAUAUGCUAACCAAAUUAUUUACAAAAACUCUGGGGAUAUGUUUUCAUUGAAAGUGAUGUAAUACUAUAUCUAGGAUUUUAUUCCAUUAUGCUUCCGUUUGUUUUGAUCUUACCAAAUCUGGAGCCAACACCCAUUUUGAAGUGCCCAUACUUUUUUUUUUUUUUUACUUUAUGCAUCAUCUAGUCUUCAAUCAGUUUAUGCACUUGAAUUAUGAAGAGGAUUUGAAGUGGUUUAUUAUCCUCUUAUCUCCUUUCAUAAGGGCUAUCGUCAUAUUUUGUGGCAGUUUUUUUUUUUUCAAUUAAGUGGAAAGCAGUCUUCUUGUUUUGGUCUUCACUUAAUUCCCCAAUAUCUAAUAUCCUUUCCACGAAGAGCAUAUAUUUUGAUAAACCUGGAGAAAUUGCAGAUUCUAUCAAAUGGACUCUACGAGUCGACUCUGCAUCGAGUCAUCAACUCCUCCCCCAAAAUAUCAGACCAACCUUGAAGCUGCUGGAGAACCCUUGGAUGCUUGUGUAAAGAGAACUGGUGGGACCAAGAAAUUUGGAAGAGCUAUUUAUGGAGAGCAUUUAGUUAGCGAAGUACAAACCAAUUUUGUAAAAGAUGAAUCAGAUUCUUGAACCUUUAAACUUCUAUUCUAUUUUGAUAAACUAAUAAUUUCAAUGUCCUGUAGACUGUAUCUGAACCGGUAUCGAAUAUUGUCUGUUGCUAAGAUGUACAUUAAGUUGCUGUAAACUCCUUGUAUUUUAUUGUCAUCGGAAUGACUAUGUCUUGUGGUUGGA